AGAGUUUGAUCAUGGCUCAGAAUGAACGCUGGCGGCGUGCUUAACACAUGCAAGUCGCACGAGAACUCUUUAGCUUGCUAAAGAUAGUAAAGUGGCGCACGGGUGAGUAACACGUGGGUAAUCUACCUCUGAAUCGGGGAUAACACUGCGAAAGCAAUGCUAAUACCGGAUAAUAUCUUUUGAGCUUUGGCUUAUCAGAUUAAAGGUGGCCUCUACAUAUAAGCUACUGUUUGGAGAUGGGCCCGCGCACCAUUAGCUUGUUGGCGGGGUAAUGGCCCACCAAGGCAUCGAUGGUUAGCUGGUCUGAGAGGAUGAUCAGCCACACUGGAACUGACACACGGUCCAGACUCCUACGGGAGGCAGCAGUGAGGAAUUUUGCGCAAUGGGGGAAACCCUGACGCAGCAACGCCGCGUGAGUGAUGAAGGCCCUUGGGUCGUAAAGCUCUGUCAAGUGGGAAGAACCUGCUUUAUGCUAAUACCAUAUUGCACUGACGGUACCACUGAAGGAAGCACCGGCUAACUCCGUGCCAGCAGCCGCGGUAAUACGGAGGGUGUAAGCGUUAUUCGGAAUUAUUGGGCGUAAAGAGCGCGUAGGCGGCCNUUUUAAGUCAGAUGUGAAAGCCCGAGGCUUAACCUC
rnacentral:rRNA from 1 species